rnacentral:rRNA from 1 species
GAUGAACGCUGGCGGCGUGCCUAAUACAUGCAAGUCGAGCGAACGGACGAGAAGCUUGCUUCUCUGAUGUUAGCGGCGGACGGGUGAGUAACACGUGGAUAACCUCCCUCUACGACUGGGAUAACUUCGGGAAACCGGAGUUACUACCGGAUAAUAUUUUGAACCGCAUGGUUCAAAAGUGUAAGACGGUCUUGCUGUCACUUAUAGAUGGAUCCGCGCUGCAUUAGCUAGUUGGUAAGGUAACGGCUUACCAAGGCAACGAUGCAUAGCCGACCUGAGAGGGUGAUCGGCCACACUGGAGGUGAGGCGCGGUCCAGACUCCUACGGGAGGCAGCAGUAGGGAAUCUUCCGCCAUGGGCGGAAGCCGGAUGGAGCAACGCCGCGUGGGUGAUGAAGGUCUUCGGAUCGUAAAACUCUGUUAUUAGGGAAGAACAUAUGUGUAAGUGACUGUGCACAUCUUGACGGUACCUAGACAGAAAGCCACGGCUAACUACGUG